UACGUAGGGUGCAAGCGUUGUCCGGAAUUAUUGGGCGUAAAGAGCUCGUAGGUGGCCUGUCGCGUCGGCUGUGAAAACUCGAGGCUCAACCUCGAGACGUCGGUUGAAACCGUACGGCUAGAGUCCGGAAGAGGAGAGUGGAAUUCCCGGUGUAGCGGUGAAAUGCGCAGAUAUCGGGAAGAACACCCGUGGCGAAGGCGGCUCUCUGGGACGGUACUGACGCUGAGACGCGAAAGCGUGGGGAGCGAACAGG
rnacentral:rRNA from 1 species